CAGUUCUCUCUCAUUCCCGCCAUUUACAGCCGAGCGAACGAGGGCGUGUCACAACUCAUUCGGUCCCGCUGCCUAGAUGGGCGAGCCAACCAGAAGCGUGCUGCUGCCCUUUUCACUGCCACUAUGCGGCAGGUUCCAGGUUCUUGUUCUGUGACCAGAAGAAUGAGAGACAAGUUGCAAUGUUCCCCAAGCUGAUCUCAAAUACCUGGCCUCAAGUUAUCCCCCCACCUCAGCCUCCCAGGUUGGGAUUGCAGGUACACACCAGCACGUCUGUCUUUGUGAACCUAUUGGAAGAAUCAUAUGGUCAACUGAAAAAGUGUUUGAUGACAACUUGCAGCAUAGAGACAGAGAAGACACACGGGCAUAUGCUUUGGACUACAAAAUCCCUAAAGUGUCCUUCCAAAUGUUAAAUGAGGAUUCUAUAAAAGAAGCAACAAUGUUGAUUAUUUAAUUAUAGUAUUGAAAGAAGUGCUAUAGUGAGUCAACUUGGCUCACAAUACAAGACACUUGAAGACUAGAGCAUGCUCUUGGGUUCUUAAUAAAC
rnacentral:lncRNA from 1 species